GACGAACGCUGGCGGCGUGCUUAACACAUGCAAGUCGUACGGUAAGGCCCUUUCGGGGGUACACGAGUGGCGAACGGGUGAGUAACACGUGAGUAACCUGCCCACAACUUUGGGAUAACGCUAGGAAACUGGUGCUAAUACUGGAUAUGUGCUCCUGCUGCAUGGUGGGGGUUGGAAAGCUCCGGCGGUUGUGGAUGGACUCGCGGCCUAUCAGCUUGUUGGUGGGGUAGUGGCCUACCAAGGCGGCGACGGGUAGCCGGCCUGGGAGGGUGACCGGCCACAUUGGGACUGGGAUACGGCCCAGACUCCUACGGGAGGCAGCAGUGGGGAAUAUUGCACAAUGGGCGCAAGCCUGAUGCAGCAACGCCGCGGGCGGGAGGACGGCCUUCGGGUUGUAAACCGCUUUCAGCAGGGACGAAGCUUUUUGUGACGGUACCUGCAGAAGAAGCACCGGCUAACUACGUG
rnacentral:rRNA from 1 species